GAUGAACGCUGGCGGCGUGCUUAACACAUGCAAGUCGAACGGUGAACACGGAGCUUGCUCUGUGGGAUCAGUGGCGAACGGGUGAGUAACACGUGAGCAACCUGCCCCUGACUCUGGGAUAAGCGCUGGAAGCGGCGUCUAAUACUGGAUACGAGUAGCGGCCGCAUGGUCAGUUACUGGAAAGAUUUUUUGGUUGGGGAUGGGCUCGCGGCCUAUCAGCUUGUUGGUGAGGUAAUGGCUCACCAAGGCGUCGACGGGUAGCCGGCCUGAGAGGGUGACCGGCCACACUGGGACUGAGGCACGGCCCAGACUCCUACGGGAGGCAGCAGUGGGGAAUAUUGCACGAUGGGCGAAAGCCUGAUGCAGCAACGCCGCGUGAGGGAUGACGGCCUUCGGGUUGUAAACCUCUUUUAGCAGGGAAGAAGCGAAAGUGACGGUACCUGCAGAAAAAGCGCCGGCUAACUACGUGCCAGCCGCCGCCGUAA
rnacentral:rRNA from 1 species